GAAACAUUUCAGUAUGCCAUGUUCUAAACAAACUCCAAUAAUCAAGAACUCGAUGCAGCAAUGGUUUGAAGAAUGGUUUUGUGCCAUGGAUUGGAGAGAUGAUCGAUCAGAUUGUCAAUAGGACCAACAUGAGUAACAGAAGCCUGAACGAAGAUACCAAGCAUAGCCACCAUAGCUAGGCGUCCGUUUUUAAUCUCUUUCAGUUUCCAGUCUUUAGCAUUCUUGAUAUCUUUUCCAAUUCCAAGAGGAUUCAAUAAAGGACCACCUGGAUACCCUGGUUCAAGGCCUUCCAGUGCAGCUUCUAGUCCAAAAAAAGAUCCAGGUUUUGCUUGAGAGCCAGGAUGAAGAAAAUCCAUGUACCUUUUUGUUUCAACGAACCCCAUCAAUAAUAGUUGAAUGAUGAGCAGAGUCGUUGUGCUGGCAAAGUUAAAUUUUGUAGCUCCUGCUUCAUACCACACUGGCAAAUCCCUUAUUCGAGUGACACGAAGCAAAUCAGUUAAAAGUAUUCCAGCAACCCCAGCCAUGGCGAAGCGGGCAUGAACAAGUUCUGCUUGUACAUACCAUUUCAAACUUUCAGGAUCCUCUCCAAGUCCUAGUGGAUCAAAACCAAAAUCUCCAGCAAGAGUUCCAUCAAGAUGAGGUGGAGGGUCAAGGCCAGGAAGCCAUGUUGGCCUUUGGUGAGCUUGAGCCAGAGGUGUUAGAGAAUGUCCUUUUCUAGCUCUAGUCGAAUUAAAUCCUUUUACACAAGUUCUACGUAUACUCUUUCCAUGAAAAGAUGAACCAGACAAUAAUGUCAAAACUUGGAAACUUCUACCCACUGCAAU
rnacentral:misc_RNA from 1 species